GAUGAACGCUAGCGGCAGGCCUAAUACAUGCAAGUCGAACGAUAUCAUCCAGCUUGCUGGAUGAGAAAGUGGCGCACGGGUGCGUAACGCGUAUGCAACCUACCUUUAUCUGGGGGAUAGCCCGGAGAAAUCCGGAUUAAUACCGCAUAAAAUCACAGGAUGGCAUUAUCCAAUGAUCAAACAUUUAUGGGAUGAAGAUGGGCAUGCGUGUCAUUAGCUAGUUGGCGGGGUAACGGCCCACCAAGGCGACGAUGACUAGGGGAUCUGAGAGGAUGGCCCCCCACACUGGUACUGAGACACGGACCAGACUCCUACGGGAGGCAGCAGUAAGGAAUAUUGGUCAAUGGAGGCAACUCUGAACCAGCCAUGCCGCGUGCAGGAAGACUGCCCUAUGGGUUGUAAACUGCUUUUAUCCGGGAAUAAACCACAUUACGUGUAAUGUGCUGAAUGUACCGGAAGAAUAAGGAUCGGCUAACUCCGUGCCAGCAGCCGCGGUAAUACGGAGGAUCCAAGCGUUAUCCGGAUUUAUUGGGUUUAAAGGGUGCGUAGGCGGCCUGUUAAGUCAGGGGUGAAAGACGGUAGCUCAACUAUCGCAGUGCCCUUGAUACUGAUGGGCUUGAAUGGACUAGAGGUAGGCGGAAUGAGACAAGUAGCGGUGAAAUGCAUAGAUAUGCCUCAGAACACCGAUUGCGAAGGCAGCUUACUAUGGUCUUAUUGACGCUGAGGCACGAAAGCGUGGGGAUCAAACAGGAUUAGAUACCCUGGUAGUCCACGCCCUAAACGAUGAACACUCGCUGUUGGCGAUACACAGUCAGCGGCUAAGCGAAAGCGUUAAGUGUUCCACCUGGGGAGUACGCCCGCAAGGGUGAAACUCAAAGGAAUUGACGGGGGCCCGCACAAGCGGAGGAGCAUGUGGUUUAAUUCGAUGAUACGCGAGGAACCUUACCCGGGCUUGAAAGUUAGUGAAUUAUCCAGAGAUGGAUAAGUGAGCAAUCACACGAAACUAGGUGCUGCAUGGCUGUCGUCAGCUCGUGCCGUGAGGUGUUGGGUUAAGUCCCGCAACGAGCGCAACCCCUAUGUUUAGUUGCCAGCAUGUAAUGAUGGGGACUCUAAACAGACUGCCUGUGCAAACAGAGAGGAAGGAGGGGACGACGUCAAGUCAUCAUGGCCCUUACGUCCGGGGCUACACACGUGCUACAAUGGAUGGUACAGAGGGCAGCUACAUAGCAAUAUGAUGCGAAUCUCACAAAGCCAUUCACAGUUCGGAUUGGGGUCUGCAACUCGACCCCAUGAAGUUGGAUUCGCUAGUAAUCGCGUAUCAGCAAUGACGCGGUGAAUACGUUCCCGGGC
rnacentral:rRNA from 1 species